GGUUAGCCUCUGAUGUUCACUGUAAUGGGUACGGACGCUACCAAAGGUUAGCCUCUGAUGUUCACUGUAAUGGGUACGGACGCUACCAAAGGUUAGCCUCUGAUGUUCACUGUAAUGGGUAUGGACGCUACCAAAGGUUAGCCUCUGAUGUUCACUGUAAUGGGUAUGGACGCUACCAAAGGUUAGCCUCUGAUGUUCACUGUAAUGGGUACGGACGCUACCAAAGGUUAGCCUCUGAUGUUCAAUGUAAUGGGUACGGACGCUACCAAAGGUUAGCCUCUGAUGUUCACUAUAGGGGGUACGGACGCUACCAAAGGUUAGCCUCUGAUGUUCAAUGUAAUGGGUACGGACGCUACCAAAGGUUAGCCUCUGAUGUUCACUGUAAUGGGUACGGACGCUACCAAAGGUUAGCCUCUGAUGUUCACUAUAGGGGGUACGGACGCUACCAAAGGUUAGCCUCUGAUGUUCAAUGUAAUGGGUACGGACGCUACCAAAGGUUAGCCUCUGAUGUUCACUGUAAUGGGUACGGACGCUACCAAAGGUUAGCCUCUGAUGUUCACUGUAAUGGGUACGGACGCUACCAAAGGUUAGCCUCUGAUGUUCACUGUAAUGGGUACGGACGCUACCAAAGGUUAGCCUCUGAUGUUCACUGUAAUGGGUACGGACGCUACCAAAGGUUAGCCUCUGAUGUUCACUGUAAUGGGUACGGACGCUACCAAAGGUUAGCCUCUGAUGUUCACUGUAAU